rnacentral:rRNA from 1 species
GCCUACGACCAAAUCAUCAGAAAUGUGCCUGAUCUUGUCAGGUCUCAGAAGCUGAGCAGGCUUGAGCCUGGAUAGUGCUUGGAUGGGCAACCACCGUCGUGCAUAUAACAGUGGCUAUAGGAU